ensembl:ncRNA CD4.14 ncRNA
ACUCGAAUUUCACUUCAGCAUCUCCAUAUUGACAUGGAAUUUCCAUUUCAAUUGCAGCAGUCUGUGGAAGAAUCAUUGGUUCGCCGCCAGCCAGUAGAAAAUUGUUGUCUGAAUU